UACGUAGGGUGCAAGCGUUGUCCGGAAUUAUUGGGCGUAAAGAGCUCGUAGGCGGCCUGUUGCGUCCGCUGUGAAAGCCCGGGGCUUAACCCCGGGUCGGCAGUGGAUACGGGCAGGCUAGAGGUAGGUAGGGGAGAAUGGAAUUCCCGGUGUAGCGGUGAAAUGCGCAGAUAUCGGGAGGAACACCGGUGGCGAAGGCGGUUCUCUGGGCCUUACCUGACGCUGAGGAGCGAAAGCGUGGGGAGCAAACAGGG
rnacentral:rRNA from 1 species